UCUGGUGGCUUUUGCGGAAGGGUCACACCUGUUCCCAUACCGAACACAGAAGUUAAGCCUUCAAGCGGCGAUGAUACUUGGGUCAUCAAGCCCUGGGAAAGUAGCACGUCGCCAGAA
rnacentral:rRNA from 1 species